GACGAACGCUGGCGGCGUGCUUAACACAUGCAAGUCGAACGGAAAGGCCCUGCUUGCAGGGUGCUCGAGUGGCGAACGGGUGAGUAACACGUGGGUGAUCUGCCCCUUACUUUGGGAUAAGCCUGGGAAACUGGGUCUAAUACUGGAUAGGACCAUGCUGUAGGUGGUGUGGUGGAAAGAUUAGUUUCGGUAAGGGAUGAGCUCGCGGCCUAUCAGCUUGUUGGUGGGGUAAUGGCCUACCAAGGCGUCGACGGGUAGCCGGCCUGAGAGGGUGGACGGCCACAUUGGGACUGAGAUACGGCCCAGACUCCUACGGGAGGCAGCAGUGGGGAAUAUUGUACAAUGGGCGCAAGCCGGAUGCAGCGACGCCGCGUGGGGGAUGACGGCCUUCGGGUUGUAAACUCCUUUCAGCCAUGACGAAGCCCUUGUGGUGACGGUAGUGGUAGAAGAAGCACCGGCUAACUACGUG
rnacentral:rRNA from 1 species